AGAAUAAAAUUAUCCCGAAGAUUUUAUUUAAUUAAUAAUGUCAUCUCGUAGAAUCCUUGAUUGGAUUCGAUUGUGAUUCCUUACUUGAUUAAGUUGGUCUUCAAUAAGGAAAGUUUAAAGGUAUGGAUUAGUUAUUAAUCUUAUCUUUAAUUCCUUUAAAUUUUCUCCUUGUCAUGAGCAUGAGAGCUUGAAGAAGUCGUAGUCAGCAACUCAAGUCUUCUUAAUGGUUGAACUACGCAUGGAACAGAUGUGGGCCUCGCCAAUUUAAUGAGGGUUUG
rnacentral:lncRNA from 1 species